AUAUAUCAUUAAGGGGGAAGGGAUUUGGUAUGAUAAACCACUGAACUUCAAGCUACUUUUUGUAAGCAACCGCUUAUAGUAACAUUCGUAACAUUUUUGUGUAGUGGCCAGAGUAUGCUGUCUUCAUUUCCAUUGUAAUGUCAUAAUUUUCAAAGUCAAAAAUGGUAAACAUCCAAUUAUGCAACGAAAUUCGAUUCUGAAUUGUGAAUAAAAUGAAUACCCAUAAAGAUAAGGUAUUAACCGUACGACACUGAGGAGCUCUGUCUUGUUCAUUGUUUCGAAAACAGUAUGACUAAUGCUAAAAAGAAGCUUGUUUUUGCCAUGAUGCGGUAACCAGAUGGGCUCGAACAUCCGAUAACUUCGCUUUAUUGAACACGAACCUGCUGGUGGUUUCAGACGUUCUCUUCGAUUUCCUCCUCCUAAGUUCCUGGUCUGAAUGAUCAUUUUGCGUCAUUCCCGCUGAUCGGGAUCCCUUUGUGCGAAGAUGUCAUGCCGAAAUAGAAGAGUUUUGGAGGCUCGGUCUUCGUUUCCUUGAUCUUGGGUGGUGGAGCUUCCUCUGCUGGCGAAUCAGGACCUGAAAGAAACGGAAGAUGGG